GUCCAUGCUGUAAACGAUGUCAACUAGCCGUUGGGGUCUUUAAGACUUUAGUGGCGUAGCUAACGCGAUAAGUUGACCGCCUGGGGAGUACGGUCGCAAGACUAAAACUCAAAUGAAUUGACGGGGGCCCCGCACAAGCGGUGGAGCAUGUGGUUUAAUUCGAUGCAACGCGAAGAACCUUACCUAGCCUUGACAUGUCCGGAAUCUUGCAGAGAUGCGAGAGUGCCUUCGGGAAUCGGAACACAGGUGCUGCAUGGCUGUCGU
rnacentral:rRNA from 1 species